rnacentral:lncRNA from 1 species
CUUCUCUCCGGCGGCGCGACGGUACAAAUGGGGGAGGGACACAUUCCUCAGCUUGUCUCUCUCUGCGCACUGUUACCGGGAGGGUUGAAGACAAAGGUCUGCAUAUCUGGAGACUCAAGCAUGCACCGGGAACCUCACCUUACUUCAGUGCUAUUUGCAGGAAUGAUAUAGCUCGUGCAAGGGCAAGCUGGUUUGGAUAUUCAUCUGUCUCAAGUAUGACUGCAAGAAACAAUCAUUUCUGACAGUGGGAGAAUAACCUUAACUCCUUGUGCUGCUUGACAUUUCUUUUGAUAUUAGUGAGAUAUUACACGCAAAAGCUGAGACAGAAGCACUAGAAGAGUCUGUCAGAGAAGUACAUACACUUGAUAUGGAAUAAGAACUAGAGUGAUCUUCUCACCUAUGCAGAUUUCCUAAACACAACACCAGCAAUCAUAGGAAGUCAUCCCAGUAUUGCAGGCAACUUUGCUUGUCCUUUGUAAAGGUCCAAGCAUUAAAUUAAAUUUACACUGCAGUUAAUUGUAUGUUCAGAACUCUGUUGUAUAAUCAAAAAUCUACAGGGAUCAAAGAUCUAUCUUUUAAAUACACUCAGGUGUUUAAAAGCUCUGUUUUCAAUCCAUUUUUAAAGGAAGUGAAGACUUGGAAUAUGUAAAGGAAGAAGCAAGUAUGUUUUUAGGUGUUCAGUAAAACUGAAAGAUGAUUUGAGGUAUCGACUACACAAGUGUCUUUACUGAACUUAUCACAAUACUAAUUAUUUCUGUCAUUAGAACAACCAUAUACACUACUACUACUACUACUGCAGAAACCACGGCCACCUUCUAUAAGAACUGUUUCCUUAGACAUGAAGUUAAAACACUCAGUGCUGGAUGCUGUAGAAGAACCAUCUUUUCACUGCCCAACUGAUCACUUUUACCCCAGAUUCCAGGAUAGUGAUAGGAGGCUGAAAAAAUCUUAACAUCCAGUUACAAUAACUUCUCUUCUCUUCUCUUCUCUUCU